GGCCUGAUGGUCUAGUAGUAUGAUUCCUUGUUAGGGUGUGUGAGCCAUAUCGCAUCAUCAAUCGAGGAGGUCCUGGGUUCAAUUCCCAGUCAGGCCC